rnacentral:lncRNA from 1 species
CUAACCCCUUCACCCCAGUUUCGCCCCGCCUCUGGCCGAGCUCCGGUACAAACUCUGCCGCCGAGGGCUCGGCUUUCACAUUCCCGCCUCCGCCCUCCGUCUCCCUCCCAACCCUAAAGCACUUCCUGCAAACUGCCGGCUGCGCGGCUGCUUUCCUUUCCGUUGCGGACCAGAGAUUCCUUGAGAUUUGAAAAGACUCCAGAUGUGGCUCAGGCUGACCUUGAACUCAUGAUCCUACUGCAUCCUUCACUACAUCUGGCUCUAUUUUAUCUUCGGAGGUCGACUCUUUGGACAGAAGACAGAAGACAGCUUCUCCAUAAAUAAUUCAUUUUCUACAUUUACUACACAGCUGCUAAAAGCGAAUCGCCUGGCUUGUGUUACUUACCUUCUCUUUGUUCACCUGGCAUUUGCAGGUCCCCAAAGAGAUCAUUUGAUUGGAUUGAUUUGUCAUACUCAGUACUGAGUGCUGCCCUUGAAC